CGGGCCUUUCUGAGCAGGAAGCGAGUCGCUCGCUGCCCCCGGGUGCGGGCGCGCAGGACCAGCAGCUGCCCCCAGCCACGGGCGCGCCACCUGUUUCCGCCUGGGACUUCCCCCAGCCGGCUCCGAAGUGUGGAGUCAGCAGCUUGGCCUGGCCCGGCAUCAGGGGCCCAGCGCAGCCCUACCCCACCGCCGCCUCCCGUGAGGCCCCGCCUGGAAGAGGCGUGGACUGCACCCUGGUGCGCGCGUUCUGGGCUUGGCCUUGAAAAUCAGGAUGGCGAUGACCGCUGAGCAGUUUAACACAAUGGACAUAGAGCAGAAAUCAGUCAUAAAUAUUAAACUGGAUCGAACAUUCAUAGUACAAAGUAUGCUGUAAAGUGCUGAAGGUGUGUAAGUACGCAAAGCUG
rnacentral:lncRNA from 1 species